rnacentral:tRNA from 2 species
GCCGAUUUAGCUCAGUUGGCAGAGCACUUGUUUCGUAAACAAGGGGUCGGCAGUUCGAAUCUGCCAAUCGGCA